AUUGAACGCUGGCGGCAGGCUUAACCCAUGCAAGUCGAGCGAGCGACGGACGGGUGCGUCAUGUCUGGGAAACUGCCUGAUGGCGGGGGAUAACUACUGUAAACGGUAGCUACUACCGCAUAACAUCAGAUGUGCCCAGAUUGGAUUAGCUAGUAGGUGGGGUAAUGGCUCACCUAGGCGACUCUCCGUAGCUGGGCUGCGAGGAUGACCAGCCACACUGGAACGGAGACACGUUCCAGCAUCCUACGGGAGGCAGCAGUGGGGAAUAUUGCACAAUGGGCGAAAGCCUGAUGCAGCAAUGCCGCGUGAGUGAAGAAGGCCUUCGGGUUGUAAAGCACUUUCGGCGAGGAGGCGUUACUCGCAGAAGAAGCACCGGCUAACUACGUGCCAGCAGCCGCGGUAAUUC
rnacentral:rRNA from 1 species